UACACAAUGUGACAAUAAAAACCAAAAUUAAGUAGUAGAAAACAAAAUCGUUAACAAUUAAACAAGCGAGUUGCAUUACAACAACAACAACAACAACAGCCAUCACAAAAAGGAAGCGCAUUGAAAACAACAACAAUCACAUAACAUCAACAACAAACAACAACAACAACAACUUAGCUGCCUUUAAUGCUGCAUAUAUCCUGAAUAUCCUGCACAUUUAACAUCUCGUUGUUUAGCGUCUCUGUCCAAGUCCUUGUGUGUGUCUGUAACUCUGUGUGUGUGUGUGUAUUUGUCCUUAGACUGCAAUCCAAAGCAACGCCCACCCGCCCCCCAACAACUCCGACUACACACACCUACUAGCUUUCUUGCUCUCUCUCUCUCUCUCUUUCUUUCUUUCUCUCUGUCUUUCUCUUUCUCUGUCUCUGUGUGUCUCUUUAUUCUCACCUCGGCAGCCCUGUUCAUUGGGUGUCUAGCACUACUAAGCACUAGCACCACAGCACCACUAGCAAUCAACAGCGCAGCCAAAGCAACGGGCCAACAAUCAAGAACCACUCGAACCACUCGAACUCGUACUCAAUUUCGAACUCGAAGUCGAUAUCGAAUAACAAGUACCACCACCACUACCACCACCGUUACAGUUAGCCAACGACCAGGUCAGUGUCUGUGUGAUUACCCCACUCCUGCUCGCCACACCACCCACAUACCAGCACCACAAUUGCACAUUACUACCAUAGAUACCCACGGCAGUAUUACUACCGCAUGGAGCGCGGCACCAGCGGUGGUCAGCAGCAACAGUCGCAGUCGCACCACCACCAACAGCAGCAGCAGCAGCAGCACCACCACCAUCAACAGCACCACCAACAGCAGCAGCAACAGUCGCGACAUCAGCAUGUGGUAUCUGUCCAUAGCUAUGAUCCGUAUUUGAUUGCCGGCGAUGCGGAUGAGGAGCAUACCUCGGGCACAUCCUCCUUUGAUAAUCCCGCCACCAAAAAGAAACCACCCAAGCUGAAGCCCAUCCACCGCUCGCUGUCGAUGGCCAUUGAUAAUUAUGCACCGAUAGCUAGUGAACUUGAUUUAGAUUUAGACGAUGGCUUUAUUGUGCAUGAGCAGCCGCUGAUCCACCGCUCGGCGUCGCCGCUGCCCGUGCGAUCGUCUGCACCGCCGCAGACCCUAGCACUCCCACCACAACAACAACAUAUACCCCAACAACAACAACAACAUACGCAUGUAGCUGGUGGCAGCGGUUCCGUAUCGCCGGCACUAUCUGCACGCCAGCACCACCACCUACAACAACAACAACAACAGCACCACCAACAACAACAACAACAGCAGCAACAACUGCAUAUGCACACUUUUCAGCAGCUGGCCGCACAAGCAGCCGCUGCACGACACCACCAGUUGCCAACACAUACGCAUGCGCCACAUCAGCACCACCGUCAGCACACGCACUCGAGCUCCACCAGCUCACCCACCUCGCAUGCGGUCAGCCCAGUGCUUGGCCAGCAGCAGCAGCAGCAGCAGCAGCAACAUCAACAGCAGCAGCAGCAGCAGCAGCACCACCGACAACAGCAACCACAGCCAGAUAUUUAUUUGGUCAGCAGCAGCAGCCUGGGCGACAAUGUGGGUCUGGGCAUGUCGCUUGGCCUGGGCCGCUCAACGCUGGGCGGCAGCGGCAGCACAUCACCAAUUCAAUUCAUUGAUGUCGAUGAUAUGCUGCCGCACCACCCGCACCACACGCAUCAACAACAACAACAGCAACAACAGCAGCAGCAGCAGCAGCAGCUGCAGCUGAAAAAGAAUCUCUUUCGGCGCUCAGACACAAUUGACGUUCAUCCGUCUACCAAUUUUCAGAUGAAGAAAACGCAUUCCUUCCACGCCCAACAGGAUCCCGCCGCCAUGGAGCAAAUACAAUUGGCCGUCGCCGCUGGCUCGGCCAGCUCCAGUCGUCGCACCAGCUCGGUGCGUGCCAACUUUCUGAUGCCCGGCCCGCCGGCUGGCGGCAAGGAGAUCUCCCGUUCGCCCUCGCCCAGUCGACGGGGCUGUCGAUCGCAUCGCUCCUUCAACGAUCCCGGCCGACGGCCGAGCAGCAAGCCCGACUCGGUGGUGGAGUCGCAGAUACGGCAUCCAUCGCUGAACGAUGAUCUGAUUGAACCGCUCGACGGCCGUUCCCUGUUCCCCCAGUCGAAUCUGUCGCUGGAGAAUGAGCUCUUUGUGGAGUCGCGCUCGCGCAGCAAUAGCCAUACCAAAAUGGACGAGCUGGGCGUGGCAGAGCUGGCAGCCGCCGCUGUGGCCGUGCAGCGGAUACAGCGCAAGAGUUCCGGUUCGUUUGAUGAGACGGCGCCUGGUCUGAUUGUCGCCGCCGGUCACAGCGCCACCCAUCCGCCCGCCGCCUCCGCCUCGAACAGCAUCAAGCAGAAGCCACACCAUGUGCCCCACUCCCGUCAGCAGAGCACCCACAGCCUGGAGCUGGACGGCCGUCCGUCCACCAGCAAGCUGCACAGCGCUGCCGCCGCUGCCAGCGCCGCGUACCACUUCAAGCGCGGCGCGCAACACGGACGCUCACUGUACCUGUCGCCCAGCAACCUGGAGGAGCUGACCGUGCACCGGCCCGGCGUCCUGGCGGCCGCCGCCGCCUUCCAGGGCACCAACGCCAGCGCCAGCGUCAAGCAGGCCAAGGCGCUGCACAGCGCCAGCGUGCGACUGCGCAGCUACCGGGAGGCGCUGAGUGCGACCAAGAAGUCCAAGAGCUUCAUUGGCGGCGAUGCCAGCGGUGCUGCGGACGAUGACUUCGAGCUUAGUUCACCCCACCGGCGCAACAGCCGUCCGCUGUCGACGGCGGUGCCCAGCGUCAGUGCCGCCGGCGUUGUCAACGUGGACGAGAUCAAGCGCAGUCCACGGCCGAUAUCUGCGGCACAGGUGGCCGCCGCCUUCAUCGAGGAGAAGCGGCCGUCGUUCGAGCGCAAAUCCUCGCUGACCUACGAGCAGGAGCUGACGGAUGCCGCCUUUGCGGCCCAGGUGCUGCGUCCCUUCCAUCAUAAGCUGGCGGCGGGCCGCAAGGCCUCGCUCAGUGGCGGCUCGCACAAGCUCAAAAAGAAAUCGCUGAGCGAUGAGACGGACGAGGAUGAGGAGGCGGAUCGCAAACGGAAGCGAAUCGUCUGCAUUGUCCUGGCCACGGUGCUGCUGUGCCUGGUCUGCGCCAGUGUGUUCGUGGUCAUUGUCACCCUCACCUCCGGCCAGAGUCAGUCCGGCAAGAAGCCGCACUCGUUCAGCAGGGAUACGCCCGUACACUAUACGGGCAUGCGGCCGUCAUGAACUAGGACAGCGAUAACUGCGAUAUCAACAAUCGGUAGACGCCUUUGCCCCAAUGCCGUUUCCUGUUUGAUAUUUUCGGCUUUCACUUCCGUUUCCGCUGCGCUUGCUACCAAUUCUUCUUCUUCCACUUCUGCUACUACUACCACCACUACUACUACUACUACUACUACUACUACUACUACUACUUCAUGUCUCCUGUGCCCUGCUCUCUGUGUGUGCGUGCGUGUAAUUGUGAGCCAGUUCGAUUGUCCACUUCCACUCCAGUGCCAGCGCAACAAAACAGUUGACAAAUUGCCCAACGAUGUCCAGGAGCAACAACAACAACAACAACAACAACAAUUGGCUACAAUUCCUGCGAAUUGCCAUUGAAAAGAUAAACACAUACAAACACGCGUCUUUCGCCAGGAGAACGAGCGCAGCAUGCGUGAGAAUCUGGAACGCACGCUCAUGAUGAAGAAUAUGACGGAGUUGAAUCUGCAGCGACAGC